rnacentral:rRNA from 1 species
GAUGAACGCUGGCGGCGUGCCUAAUACAUGCAAGUCGAGCGAACGGACGAGAAGCUUGCUUUUCUGAUGUUAGCGGCGGACGGGUGAGUAACACGUGGAUAACCUACCUAUAAGACUGGGAUAACUUCGGGAAACCGGAGCUAAUACCGGAUAAUAUUUUGAACCGCAUGGUUCAAAAGUGAAAGACGGUCUUGCUGUCACUUAUAGAUGGACCCGCGCUGCAUUAGCUAGUUGGUAAGGUAACGGCUUACCAAGGCAACGAUGCAUAGCCGACCUGAGAGGGUGGUCGGCCACACUGGAACUGAGACACGGUCCAGACUCCUACGGGAGGCAGCAGUAGGGAAUCUUCCGCAAUGGGCGAAAGCCUGACGGAGCAACGCCGCGUGAGUGAUGAAGGUCUUCGGAUCGUAAAACUCUGUUAUUAGGGAAGAACAUAUGUGUAAGUAACUGUGCACAUCUUGACGGUACCUAAUCAGAAAGCCACGGCUAACUACGUGCCAGCAGCCGCGGUAAUACGUAGGUGGCAAGCGUUAUCCGGAAUUAUUGGGCGUAAAGCGCGCGUAGCGGUUUUUUAGUCUGAUGUGAAAGCCCACGGCUCAACCGUGGAGGGUCAUUGGAAACUGGAAAACUUGAGUGCAGAAGAGGAAAGUGGAAUUCCAUGUGUAGCGGUGAAAUGCGCAGAGAUAUGGAGGAACACCAGUGGCGAAGGCGACUUUCUGGUCUGUAACUGACGCUGAUGUGCGAAAGCGUGGGGAUCAAACAGGAUUAGAUACCCUGGUAGUCCACGCCGUAAACGAUGAGUGCUAAGUGUUAGGGGGUUUCCGCCCCUUAGUGCUGCAGCUAACGCAUUAAGCACUCCGCCUGGGGAGUACGACCGCAAGGUUGAAACUCAAAGGAAUUGACGGGGACCCGCACAAGCGGUGGAGCAUGUGGUUUAAUUCGAAGCAACGCGAAGAACCUUACCAAAUCUUGACAUCCUUUGACAACUCUAGAGAUAGAGCCUUCCCCUUCGGGGGACAAAGUGACAGGUGGUGCAUGGUUGUCGUCAGCUCGUGUCGUGAGAUGUUGGGUUAAGUCCCGCAACGAGCGCAACCCUUAAGCUUAGUUGCCAUCAUUAAGUUGGGCACUCUAAGUUGACUGCCGGUGACAAACCGGAGGAAGGUGGGGAUGACGUCAAAUCAUCAUGCCCCUUAUGAUUUGGGCUACACACGUGCUACAAUGGACAAUACAAAGGGCAGCGAAACCGCGAGGUCAAGCAAAUCCCAUAAAGUUGUUCUCAGUUCGGAUUGUAGUCUGCAACUCGACUACAUGAAGCUGGAAUCGCUAGUAAUCGUAGAUCAGCAUGCUACGGUGAAUACGUUCCCGGGUCU